rnacentral:lncRNA from 1 species
CGAUCCUCCCACCUCAACCUCCCACGUGGCUGAGACUACAGGUGGGACCAUCCAGUUGCAGGAAAACAAGCUUGACACGCCCACUAAUUCUACAUUAUGCUCCUACCUCCCGGCAGCCUCUCCAGGCCCAGAACUUUCUCCAGUCAGCCUCUACAGACCAAGCUCAUGACUCACAAUGGCCUAUUUAGGCCCAUACCCUACGUCACGGCAGCCUCCGCAGAUGAGGCUACUGCCUCACAACAGCCUCCACAGGCACAGCUCCAUCGUUACAAUGGCCUCUUUAGACCCAGCUCCUGCCUCCCAGCCUUCUCUCCAGGCCCUGAACUUUCUCAAGUCGACCUCACCAGGCCCAGCUCAUGCUUCUUUGCAGCCUCUCCAGGCCCAGCUCCUGCAUCUUGGUGGCCCCUCCAGGCCCAGCCUCUGCCUCCCGUCAGCCUCUACAGUCCCAACGUCUGCCUCACAGCAGAUUCUUCACGCCCAGCAUCUACCUCACUGUGGACCCCCCAAGCCAAGCUCCCAACCUUUCAGCAGCUUCUACACACCCAGCUCCCGCCUGCCAGUGGCC